GGUGUAAAUGGCAAUUUGUCGGCGGACGACGGACUACCGCAUGGAAGUCGCCCCCGCAUACGGUAGCCGUGUAGAUACCGCGUCGCUCUGACAGCCGCUCUUUCUCGCCGGCAUUGGCAUUCGGCACUCAACUCUUGGCCUGGCCCGCUCUUUUCUGCCAUAUCAUCGCCGUCAUCAUCGUCGCGAUCAUCAUGCCACCUCCACCCCCACCCUCUACCCCUCCCCGCACCAAAGAGUAUCUUAUUAUCCCUUAGUGCGAGGAAACACAGAAGUAUACACACCACCUACCCACUUACUCACCUGUGCUACCUGUGCUCUGUCAACCCAUUUGGACGACCCAUGAAAUACAUUUGAAUUCAUAAAAUGCAAAAUGUAGCACCUCGUCUAGUAAAAAAAGAUUCAAAUUUAGGCAGCCCAACUUUACCGUCCACUUUUUGGGCAGACGAAAAUACAAAAUAAUGCAGUGAGUAGGUCUGAAAUUAAUUUUUACAAUUUUGUACGACAUAGGCCAAUCCUCUCAAAAUUAUAGUAGAAUAUUUUCAAAAGCUUUUGCCGUAAUUUAUUAUAUUCCUAAACGCGUUUAUAUAUGAAAACAAAUAAAACUAUGAAUGAAACCUAAAUUGUGUAUUAAAAGAUUAAUAUUUAAACAUAUAAAGAAUAAGUAAGUAACCAACUUUAGUUUCAUAUUAAAUCCUGUUUAAGUAUGUAUGUUUACUUUUUACUUUUCUUAUUUAAAAACAAUUAAAUCAUAUAAAAUUCGGACAAUGAUCCUGAUAAAGAAUAUAUAUACUUUAUAGGGCCGAAAACGUUUUUUUCUGUCUGUUACAUACUUUUUAACAAAUCUAGUAUUACAAUUUACACUAGGAUUAACGCUUACAGUUAUACCCCGAAAAGCCAAAGUAAAUUAUCCUUAAAUUUUUUUGAAAAGUACCUAAAAUGCAUUUACAACUUAAUUUUAAUUUAAUAUAAUUGUAAUAGGAUGAAAACUUAGUUUUAAUAAUAAUAACGCUUGUACGUUCAACCCUGACUGUACCAUAUACAAUUGAAUGCAGAGAGGCCUUACAUAUUAUUAUAGCAAAUCUAUUACACCAUGCCUAUAAUAGUUUAUCCGAAAUAAGAGUCCUUAAAAGCCUUUGAAGCCCUAAACGGAACUAUCCGAGCGUGUUUAAAGCCCUUUUCAUAUGACAUCCUUCCGAUACGAUUUGCCCGGCGCGAAGGACAUUGCCGGUGACACGACCAACAAUGGCGAGUCCAGCCCUCUCUAUGACAUUGAUGGGCAUUGACGACGCUGGUGAUGGGAUGGUGAUCAUCAGCGAGAGCGUCAUCAUCAUCAGAGCUGGGAAUGUGGCAGGGAAUGACGAUGAAGUAACAAGGAGAACGACAUUUCCAGCUAACGAAUUCAAUUGAGUUGAAUUUUUCAUUUAAGGUUUAUUUAACUUUUUUAUUCCAUUUCCAGGCAGCGAGCAGGAAGAGCCGGCCGCAGGGAUUCGCACACAGCGCUCGAGAUGAGAUGAGAUGCGAUUCGAUGCCAUGGGAUGAUGUGCGAUGAGAUGAUGUGAUGUGAGACGCGAUGGGAUGCGAUGGAAUGGGAUGGGACGGGAUGGGAUGAGGUGCGGUGCGGAAGCAUAUGAAUGCGGAGAGUGCCCAUGGAUAUGGAUGGAUAUGGAUGGAUGUGCGGUUGUGCCAAUGGCGGCAGCUGGGCCGAGCACUCGAAUCCAGUCGGAGUACAGACGCAGACAAACGCAAAUGAAUUUAUGCCUAAUGGCGGGAUUGUUGUACUACUUUUUGCCCCCGUCGCCGUUGCCACAUCGCAUUGUUGUGCUGUGUCGCUGUCAAUAUUGAGCUUGAUUAUUAAAUGACACAUUAUGUGAUUUCCAACAUGUUCACUGGCCACCGACGACCGGGAGCUCGAGCUCGAGCUCGGCACGGAGGGCGAGAGUUGGACCCAGUUCCCACUUCAAGCCCAAUUCAAAAGGAAGCCAGAAGGGGCGUCGUCCCGGUCCAUCUGUUCGACCCAUCCGCAGAGCAGCCAGUUACAUGGCAUGGAAGUCAUUUUGUAGCACAUCCAGUACGUGAGCUGAUUGCAAUUGUGAAAAGAGGCGUCUGUGGGAUGGGUGUUGGGAAGUGGGUAGUACGAGUGCCAGGGGAGGCGGUUGAGCAAUUGUGAAGGGGGGGGGUCAACUUUUCGGAAGCAAUAGUGCAGCAGCUGAAGUGGAGAUACUUUGGAUCGAGGGUAUUUAAAAGGGGGAUUCUUCCUAUGAGUUUAGCUUGAGUUUAGUUUCUAUAUAGAUUUAUUACAGAAAGAUACAGCAUAUUAAGAAUAAUUGUGUAUUACUUUAAUUCAUGUAUUUUCCGCCUAAUUAAUAUUUAAUUCUUUUUUAAUCCAUUAUUUAAACUGCUUGACUCCUGAACAUGCCCAUUCGCAAAAGCCAACUACGUCCCUGGCCAGCGAAUUCGUAAUGUUUUCUUUUGGAAAUGGCGUCUCCGGGGUGUUAGAAACCACUCCCACUCUGCGCCGCCCACUUUGGGCAGCGAACCACCCCGAAUCGAGUGGCAACAGAAGCCGAAAUGCCACAAAAGCCGUGUUAGCGCAACACUCCGCAAAAGACCCUGCCCAGUUCAAACUUUGCCAUACAAUAAAUUGAAAUUGCGCACAUUAUAUACGAGUAUAUGUUGAAUGGCAUAUUCCAAGGGGGCAGGCGCACGCCCUUCGGAAGGCAAUGUAAUGGCAGCCUGGAUGGCCACAUUAAAUGGCAACAAUUGCCAUUUGCCUCCCUCCUAUCCAGAGCCCAGAUCCCUGCCUGCCUUCGGAUCCUGCCCAACGGGUCACAGGCGAAACGCCUAUUGUGCGCCAUAAUGAAAUUAAAAAAUCAGUUACUGUUGUGCCUGUUACUGUGUUCUUCUGGCAAGGGAAGGGAAGGGAUGGGAAGGUACAUUAUGCCAUUAGCAGAGCCAUGCCUGCCGUCCAAACACAAAGCACACGGCACAAUACCACGUAUUCCAUUCAAGGCGGACAAAUCUGGAAAAUAGAAAUAAGGUGGCGCAAGAAUUGCCCUAUUUGUGCCCCUGCCACGCCAAGGCAGUUGGUUGCAUACGAGUUCGAAUUACAGCAUUUGGCAUAAUCUGAAACCAGUCGGAUCCCGCCGACUACAGCCGAUGAGUCAAUUUACAUAGUCCGACCUUCGGGGUGGCACACUAAUCACUAGUUAGGGGUUGGAUCCUCCGGAGGGAGGGAAUUAUGUUACCAUAUUUGUACGAAUUAACAAAGCUAAUUAUGGUAAUCCUCGCGGUGAUUGGACGACUUCAAGUGAAACGUUUAAAACUAGCUUGAAUUCGUAUUAUCACGCAAUGGUGUAUCUUUACUCUAUAUAAUAUAUAAUAUUUAAUCUAAAUAAUGUACUACGUACAUAAAUAGUAUUCGUUUAAAUGUGUGUGUGUGUGUGUGUGUGGGUGAUCACAUAGGUACACCGGUACGAUCUUUUCAUACCUCCGCAAUACAAACCUAGUUAUAUUAAGCAUGUUCCUAAGGUUCUGUUGAUUUGGUUCUCGUUAUGAUGAAAUGAUAAUAGUCAUCUGAUUUGUUCAUAGGCGAUAAGGGGAUGCAUAUACACAGGUACACCUUAACGAUAGACUUUUAAAUCCUAAGCAGCUGGUUAUAACGUCUUUUGCUGUUUCAUUUCCAUUUCUAAGCCGCCUGCAUCCACAAAUCUCCUUUUGGAAUACUUAGCCUCUUCUCAAAUGGCCAGAGAUUUUCUGACUUCGAUUGUGGACUCGGCUUGCUCUCAUUUUACUGCCUUUGCCCACAUCAUUCUUCGUGAUUAGUUUACGGCUUUGGAAUUUGAUUUGUUGUCCUUUUUUGUCCAUGCUCUUCCAUUUCAGUUUUUUCCAUUUCUAGCUGGACGAUGUUAUCGAUCGAUUGACUUGGAGUCCUCCGCAUCUGCGGCUUUGCCUCAUUUCCGUUUCGGAUUUGGAGUCAAUAAGGAAACCAUCCUGGUCUGGACCGACCCGGAUCCAGUUGCCCUAAUCCCGGCCUGUCGGUGGAGAAAGUUGCUGGCCACGGCGGCGACUACUGCAAAUGCAAUCAAAUGCGUUUAAUUUCAUUGCUGGCCCAAUGUUAAUUACAAUAUUAUGACAGUUCUGCGGCUCGCGAUGAAUAAUUAUCACCUCAUAAAUUGCGACAAACCGCAAGGCGGCACUUGCACAUGGUCAGUAGCCUCUGCCCGAACUCAAGACUGUGGACUGUGGAAAGCGGAGUGGGGAGUCGGACCCGGGUCGGUGAUGAUUAAUCGCCCAAGUUAGUUGAGUCGCUGCCGCCAAAUGCAAUCAACGGGCCACAGACCCGUGGGCUCUAGAGGUGGCUGCGUGAUCGCUCGUGAAAUGCCUGCUAGUCGUGAGUCACGACAGAUCCUGUUACCCGUACGUUCUUAACAAUUAUAAUGUCUGUCCUAAACAAAAAUAACUUAAUAUGCCUCCGCUUUAAGAAUUUGAUUAACUUUCUAUCAUCUGAAGCUUUUAAUUAAAUAAGUAAAUGAGUAAUCCCUUAAGCUGAAAUGGGCAUAAGUUAAGUUCUGAGGACUUCUACGUAUUUGAUUCUUACUAAUUAUUACAAUAAUAUGGAACUAAUUCUGAUCGGAUUUGCCAGUUAUCGCAAAUUAAAUAGACAAUUUUUUUGUUUUAUUGGUUGUAUUCUCAUUUUAGUGGAAUUCUAUAGUACACAAGUCCUCUGGGGACAAAAAGUUUGUUGAUGCAGCAAUCAAAGAAGGAAGUGAAGUUUAAUAUAUACCUGUAAUAUCGAGCUACAUUCUCACGCUUCCAUCUCAGGGAUAUCUGCUUUGACCUGGCCAACACUUGGCUCAGCCAUCCCCACCUCCUCCACUCGACUUGAAACCACGCCGUCCACUCGACUUGGCCGCGCAGAACGUAAAUGUUGUGAAAAGCAAAUCUAAUUACGCGAAUGCUCGCCGACUAUUUGAAAAUGGGCAAUUCCACGAGAUACUUAUCUAAUUAAUAGCCCGACAGCGGCAGCGGCUGUGUGGCACAGUUCCAUUUCGAUUCCAUUCACAACUCGGCACUCCUAAUGAGCGGGGUGGCCAAGAACAAUGGACUUCGGACACUCCGAGGUGAUCGCUCCCUCUUGCCAAAAAACAAAGGCGGCUCCGUUGGGUGGGCGUUUCGACAAUUUAUAAUUUCACGUGAAGUCCCCUUCAUGGGGUAGGAGGGUAGCGGGGUGCCAAGUACGGUAAUGUCAACAAAGCGUUCCCGUUCAAUUAAGCGGAGCGAAAGAGUCAAGAGACCCGCUAUCUCCAUCUUGGUCGCCCGAGCCGGAUGGGGGAAUGGGACAGGGAAUUACUCGAAAAACAAAGGCAAUCAACGGCAAUUGACGGAGUGAGAUGGCAGCACUGCGCGUGGGAACGGGACGGGAAGAUCGGGCGGUAAGUGGUGCGCAGGCGCAUCGAAUUAAGCUCAUUGCGCAUUUGACGCGCUGUUUGACGUUUCCUUUGUGCGCCACUGUUGUUGGAGCGGGGAAGGGGAGGGGGGAUAGUAAUCGGAGUGGGAAUGCAGAUGGAGAUGAAGAGCGGACUGGGACAAAGAGGGAUCAUUAAUUGACACUCCACCUCUAACUCGUCAACGGCUAGUUUAUAAUUGUGCGCGCUUCUUUGCCGCUUUACAGUGAAUACCCACUCGGGUGGACUCUAUUCUGUAGCAUUUACAUUUGUAAGAUCCCUUAAGGAGUUCUUACCUUGAAUCUUAGAACAAUUCUCUGAUAGUCUAUUUAAUAUACAAUAGUAGCUUUAGAAGUUACAAUAAAGCCAUUUGUAAAUAGAGGUCAGGAUGAAAAGAUACCAAAAAUGCUCACUUUUGCAAAAUUUUCAUCUAUAAUUAUAGAGCGAGUUAACCCAAAUAUCUUUUACUGUACUCAAUCCUCUUUCUUCGCAACGAUCGACGGGCAGAUGCAAAACCAGAGCAUCGAUCAUUAGUGGUGAUUACUUGGAGUAUGCACGGUAUAAUGAUGCUUUUUAGCACCGAUUAAGACAAUCCGAGCUGGCAGUCAGCUAUCGCAGUAAUUAUCCACUUAGCGCUUGUUAGACAACCCCGAUUUCGAUUCAUAUUCUCAUGGCAGCGAAAUGUCAAUCGCAUUGAUGAAUGUGCUCCCAGGUUGAUUCGAUAGAGCAUCCAAUCCCCUUUGUGUUUCCCCCUUUCUUCCCAGUAGCCGAGGUUCGAAUGCAUAAUUUAUAUAUAUUUAUGGGCAGCAGUAUCGCUUCCACAGACCAUUUUGGGCACGAUUAUUUUAACCAAAUAUGGCAAAUUCGAUAUUGUCCACAAGGACAAUGAGCGUGGUAUUGGAUGGCGGAGGGAGAGAGGGUGCAUCCAAGCUGAGUUUCCCCGCCGACUACUGACAGACCCUGGUGUUAAUGACUUAAUUAAACCACCAGGCUAACCGUCCGAUCCGGAGUCGCACUCCAAGUCCCAAUUGGUGGCUGCUCCUCCAGUAGUCCGACAAUUUCACACUUUUUGCGUGGCAAUGGCAAUAUCAAAAGUGGCACGACUGGUGAAACUGUCGCAAAAAAGAAAAACGUGCACAGGUACACACACACGGGGCCAACAGAGGCGUGGUUAAUGGGGGUUAAGAUUGCCACCAUAAGAAGUUUAGAGUUAAAUAGUUAGAGAAUGUAAGAAUGUGAAAAAGACUCUCUGUUCCUUGGAAACUUUAAUAUACAAUAUAGGUUAAGAUAAAUAGCCACAGUAUUAUCUAUAGUUCCAUAUUUGUUUGCUUUCUAAUAUCUUAUUAAGGUUUCGAGCUAAUAGAUUUUUAUUAUAACUCAAACUAUUCAAGUUCUCUCCACAAAGUUCUUUGAUUCCCCUUAAAAUAGCAUUGCUAGCCCCCCUUAGCGGCGCUCCUGGUUGUGGCUUAAUCUUGUUCGGGAGAACAAGAAGAUUUCACGCAUGUUCCGUGCCGCGUAUCACUUGACGAUGGGAUGGCGAUGAUGAGGAGGAUGCUCGUUCCCCGCCAGCUCCCCACUCACGGCAGUCUGCGUCGCUCACCUGAGAGGUGCGUUGAUUAAUAUGCGCAGUGCUGGCCAAACAGUAGCCGCGGCCACAUGCUCCUGCUAUGCUCCUUUUAACUGCUCCUGAUUCCGAUGGGCGAGCAGAUGACACUGAGCCGCUCGACAGUCACCGCGCUCCUUGACAUAUCCAUUAGGCGGAACAGAACAGAACAGAACAGAGAAGACCAGGCCUGAACAGAACAGCCGAAAAGUAAAGCCGCGGAGUGCGGCUCAGAUCGGCUCGGUUUGCGACCACGUCCCCAUCAUAAUUAUUAAAUGCAGCUCAAUACAUUUGCCUCGAAUCGCUGACAUUCCUGCGCAACCUAAUGCCCAAAGAUAUUUCUUGGGGCCGACGCAGCCGCCGGCGGCCUUAU
ensembl:ncRNA lncRNA:CR45267 long non-coding RNA:CR45267